UGGGGAAUAUUGCACAAUGGGCGAAAGCCUGAUGCAGCAACGCCGCGUGAGUGAUGAAGGCCUUCGGGUUGUAAAGCUCUGUCUUUUGGGACGAUAAUGACGGUACCAAAGGAGGAAGCCACGGCUAACUACGUGCCAGCAGCCGCGGUAAUACGUAGGUGGCAAGCGUUGUCCGGAUUUACUGGGCGUAAAGGAUGCGUAGGCGGAUUUUUAAGUGAGAUGUGAAAACCCUAAGCUUAACUUGGGGACUGCAUUUCAUACUGGAAAUCUAGAGUGCGGGAGAGGAGAAUGGAAUUCCUAGUGUAGCGGUGAAAUGCGUAGAGAUUAGGAAGAACACCAGUGGCGAAGGCGAUUCUCUGGACCGUAACUGACGCUGAGGCAUGAAAGCGUGGGUAGCAAACAGGAUUAGAUACCCUGGUAGUCCACGCCGUAAACGAUGAGUACUAGGUGUAGGAGGUAUCGACCCCUUCUGUGCCGCAGUUAACACAAUAAGUACUCCGCCUGGGAAGUACGAUCGCAAGAUUAAAAACUCAAAUGAAUUGACGGGGUCAUAGCUGUUUUCCU
rnacentral:rRNA from 1 species